GGGGGAGUAGCUCCAAUUUGGCUAGAGCCACGGAUUCCAAACCCGUAGGUUGGUGGUUCGAAUCCAUCCUCCCUCU
rnacentral:tRNA from 1 species